CUGAAUGUUGACAUAGUCUUUAAUCUUGAAUCCGCACAACAUAGAUGUUCUUAAAUAUUGUUGAGCUUCAAAAUGUCAUUGAUGAUUGCAGCGCUUCCAAGUUGAUGAAGAUAUCUUGAUCAUUGGGGAUUCUCUCUUUAAAUCAUGUUAAACUCAAAUAGACAACAAAACUUGUGGCACCGAUUAAACAUUACUCCCUCCGUCCCUGAAAGAAUCAAUUUCUAGAGUUGUCCUAAGUCAAACUUUUUAAACUUUGACCAAAUUUCUAGAAAAAAAUGCUAAGAUUUAUAGUAUCAAAUUAGUAUUAUUAGAUUCAUCAUAAAAUAUAUUUUCAUAUAAUGUGUAUUUUAUAUUAUAGAUGUUGUUACUCUUUUCUACAAAGAGUCAAACUUUAAAAAGUUUGACUGGCACGGAUCCUAGGAAUUGAUUCUUUCAGGGACGGAGAGAGUAGUAGUUGGCCACUUAAGCCUUAGUUGUCCAAGCUUUUUAGAUUUUUCUUAAUUCUUUUUCUAAGCAGAGUUUCAACAAGAUCUCUUUCUCAAUAUAUAUAUUUUUUUGGGUUUUAAUCUUUCUAUGAAGCAAAAAGGAAAUGGAACAGGAUGAAUGCAUGUUUAUUUAUUUUUAUUUUUUUAUUCCACCACGGUGAAUAUCCGUGUGGGCUUUUACACACCACACAAUUUAUUCACAUGGGGUUUUAGUAUUUAAGAUGCAAUGAGUCAUAUAAAAUAUUUUUAUUAUAUUUUCUAAUGCAAUAACAAUGCAGAAAGAUAAAUAUGUUAUGG
rnacentral:lncRNA from 1 species